rnacentral:rRNA from 1 species
UACGAAGGGGGCUAGCGUUGCUCGGAAUUACUGGGCGUAAAGGGCGCGUAGGCGGAUAUUUAAGUUAGAGGUGAAAGCCCAGGGCUCAACCCUGGAAUAGCCUUUAAUACUGGAUAUCUUGAGUUCGGGAGAGGUGAGUGGAACUCCGAGUGUAGAGGUGAAAUUCGUAGAUAUUCGGAAGAACACCAGUGGCGAAGGCGACUCACUGGCCCGAUACUGACGCUGAGGCGGCG